rnacentral:rRNA from 1 species
AUUGAACGCUGGCGGCAGGCCUAACACAUGCAAGUCGGGCGAGCCGCGGACGGGUGUGUAAUGUCUGGGGAUCUGCCUGAUGGCGGGGGAUAACUACUGGAACCGGUAGCUAAUACCGCAUAACCUCAUAUGACCCCAUAUGGGAUUAGCUAGUAGGUAAGGUAACGGCUUACCUAGGCGACGAUCCCUAGCUGGUCUGAGAGGAUGAUCAGCCACACUGGGACUGAGACACGGCCCAGACUCCUACGGGAGGCAGCAGUGGGGAAUAUUGCACAAUGGGCGCAAGCCUGAUGCAGCCAUGCCGCGUGUAUGAAGAAGGCCUUCGGGUUGUAAAGUACUUUCAGUCGGGAGGCGUUACCGACAGAAGAAGCACCGGCUAACUCCGUGCCAGCAGCCGCGGUAAUUC